CACGUAGGGUGCGAGCGUUGUCCGGAAUUAUUGGGCGUAAAGAGCUCGUAGGCGGUCUGUCGCGUCUGCUGUGAAAAUCCAGGGCUCAACCCUGGACCUGCAGUGGGUACGGGCAGACUAGAGUGCGGUAGGGGAGAUCGGAAAUCCUGGUGUAGCGGUGAAAUGCGCAGAUAUCAGGAGGAACACCGGUGGCGAAGGCGGAUCUCUGGGCCGUAACUGACGCUGAGGAGCGAAAGCAUGGGGAGCGAACAGG
rnacentral:rRNA from 1 species